rnacentral:rRNA from 1 species
UACGUAGGGGGCGAGCGUUGUCCGGAUUUAUUGGGCGUAAAGAGCGUGUAGGCGGCCAGGUAGGUCUGCUGUGAAAACUCGAGGCUCAACCUCGAGACGUCGGCGGAAACCAUCUGGCUAGAGUCCGGAAGAGGAGAGUGGAAUUUCCGGUGUAGCGGUGAAAUGCGUAGAUAUCGGAAGGAACACCAGUGGCGAAAGCGGCUUCCUGGUCCAGCACCGACGUUCAGGCACGAAAGCGUGGGGAGCAAACAGG